rnacentral:lncRNA from 1 species
AAACUUUUCGCUCAUGUACAACUUUACUUCCAUAUAGUCUUAGGAGCCAAAAUACUUUUGAUAUGAUAGCGUCUUGUAGGUUUGAUACGUCGAAAACAACUUUAGAAAAGAUAUGUCGAAAACAAAUUCGAGUGGAAAACAAGCAUAGCUUAUAAGAAGAAAAUUGGACCGUUCUCUAAACUAAAAGUCAAUCAAUCACAUUCUCAUGCAUUGUUAGUCGAGAUUUGGUCGUGUUGCGACCCUAAAAAGCCAUAAAGCAUACAAGAUAGGCUUACAUAUGAUAUAUACGGAACCUACAGACCUCUCUCCCCUGAAUUUCAGGGUGGAUCCCUCUCCCUCCUAAUUUCCAAUCAAAAUUGUCCACGCCAGUCCAUUCACUAUCAUUCGUGCGUCUAAUAAAGCCCUACUUAUACAAGUUUGCUUACAGAAAAUUCACUUGUUCUCUACACCAAGAAGAUGCACACAACCCACAACACAAUUAUUACAAAUUCAAAUUUAGCAAAAGCCCUAGCAAGGAAAGAAUAAAAGGCACCAAGUAACAUUAGUACCAUGUAUCCGUCUCUUGAUCCGACAACGAUUAGUAUCAAAGACCUCCAUCCCCACAAUCACUAAAAGUUUGCUUCCUUCUACCAUACAUUACUUGAACUUUGGCUUUUGCAGUAGCGCCCGUGACCACAACAAUCUGGCACACCUAAAAAAAGGCUGGUUUGGAUGGUAGAAAUGUUCUCUUGUCAGAAUUAGCAUUAUUGCGGCACAACCAAAUAGCUUAACACAUGUGACAGUACAUAGGAAGACACCAUCAUAUAAACCAUCUAACCAUGUGCCAAGCAUACUUGUGAUGCAUGUUAGAAGAAUAAAUUAGAAGUUAUGUGUACUAUCCAGGUGACGGAGCAGCGUGAGAAAACUAUCUUUGGUGAGAACUACCACUUGACACAAAUACUAAAGGACGAUUUUGUUUUGAGCGGUAUUUAUAACUUCCCGGGUGAGGUGAGAAAAUGUUACACAAAAGAAUUCAUAAAAAAGUGUACAAAGUGUAAUUAUGUAAAGUCAGGCAUAUUUAAUUUAUAGUGUAUUUCAAUUAUGUGCUACUUUCUAGAAUUCUUUUAAUUUCAAACUUCCACCUACAAUUUUAAAUUUGUAUACAAUAAAGAGCUCCAUGUAAAUCGGCGGGAGCCAAAGCUGUGUUGCACACUUUUAACCCUCAUCAAGAUACAUAACUCUUUUUAAGCCAGUGUCCUGAAGCAAAACUCAAAAAGGAAGGCACUUCUACUUCACUUGGUAUUUGCACACUGCUAGUUUGUUCUUCUAUAUUGCAUGGCUGAGAUGUUGAUAAUAUGUGUGGUUUGCGUAGGAUGACAACGACGGUGACAUGGAGAACAACAUAGACAAGGCACGUGCAAACAUGCCCAUUCAUGAGCGUGUAAUACAGCUGAUCAUACGUGUGCUGGGAACAAUGGGUUUGCUCACUCUGGUUAUGGACGUGCGCACGAUGCUCUACAAGCCGGCCAGUGGAGUAAUCUUUGGCCACAACAAGCUUGCCUACUACAUCACCCUCGUAGCUAUUUUCGCCAUUGGAGUUGGAGAAGUCUUCACUUUCUUGUGGAUUUCCUGGUCCGGCGAUACCAACCGUCGUUGCUGGAUCUGGGGAUUUGUUCUAUUCCUCUCCAUUUGGCCAUUUAUCGGUAUACUCAGCAUGGGUGAUUUCGCUUAAUGAGUGACAUAAGGUUAGCAAAAUUCCUCAAAGCUACAAAUUUAUACUCUUCAUGAAAAUAUCAAAAUAUUACAUUUUUUUAGCAAUUGAAUAAUUUCACAAAUCUCAUUUUGUAUAAAAUUGUUGCUGUCAAGAUGCUAGUUGGAAUGUUGAUUAAAAAUGUCCCCACCUGUCUGUCAUGGACAUGGGAGGGUGGUUCGGUGAACCAAACUUAUUAGUUCAAGAAAAUCUUGGAAAAUGUAGUUCCGAGAAAGCAUGAUAUAUUAAAUUAGUGUAUUAUAUAGUAUAUAUUUAUAGACAAGUGUGUAGUGGCAUUGGAGCUAUCAUGUUCGACGCCAUCUGGAUUGCUAGGAUCUAUCUCAUGAUUAUGAUCUUUCUAAUUAGGUACUCGUUAGGGGGCUUGAGAAGAUAAUUGUCUCUGGAUCGCGAUAACGUCCACACGUGUGGUGGGGGCAACAUUUGCCCACACGCCUAUAACACACAUAUUGCGCCACGUCAUCGCAUGCAUGCAUGUGGUGAUCUUUUUUGAUUUCUAGUUUUAAAAAUAUUUUAUCUCUUAAAUGAAAAAUAUGAUUGAAGAUCCAUUUUCACCAUUAAAUUCAUCGCAACGAGAUCUUCAAAACUAGAUCUCAUAUCAGUACGUUUCGAUGACUGUUUCUUAGGGUAAAAGUUGCCAUGUCUAGUGCACAUGAAUUGCCAUGGUGUUUACGCUGAAGUUGCCCUGAUAUGUUUCAAGUAUUUUUUUCUUCUACCUUUAAAAGUAAAUUUCGAUGGAUUAGUAAAGAAUUGUCAUGAUCCAUGCAUUAAAUUUGCCAUGGUUAAUUACUAAAAAUUGUCAUGGUCAAUUAAUAAAAAUUGCCAUAAAAGUAGUUGAAAAAUAUACCCGUAGCUUUAAAUCUAGAAGAAAAAAUAAAUACAACAUGUCAUGGCAACUUUAGUGUAACAUCAUGGCAACUGUUACCCAAAAAAAAUCAUCGAAACAUAUUAACAUGUGAUCUAGUUUUGAAGAUCUUGUCGAGACGGAUUUAAUGGUCAAAACGGAUUUUGAAUUUGAUUUUUUAAUUAGAAGAUAAAACAUUUUUAAGCCAAAAACUAAAAAAGAUUUCCGCUAAUGUCAUCUGAUUUGACGUUGCAAAAUGAAUGAUAGCGAAUGCGUGUGGACAAAUUACAAACGCCCACAUGUGUGGAUGUUAGCUUUUCCCUUGUUUCUAAUUUUAAAAUAACGUUAGCCAUAUUGAGCUCUUGUGUUACCACUCGGAGUUGAGAAACAGAGAGAGAUAAUUGUGGUAGGGAAAGCAUCAUGUGUUGUGAUUCGUCCCCAGCAAGCUUUCCAAACUUCUCUCUUAUAUAUCCGUGGUAUUUGAAGGUCACCUACUUCUGUGAUUUGGCCUUUCGGUCUUAUAUAUACCUUUUGGACUAUUAGAAACAAGCUUGUAACAUGGGAAACCAUAUCCUCACUAGCUCCUAAUAUUAUUUACAAAUUGUUAUCUAUUGUAGCAGGAGGGAAUCCGUGAGGCAGUGAGAAUAACAAGGACAUUAUCAGUCUAUCUUGGCAAGUUGUGGGAGUGGUGGAGCCAGUGCAAGUCAGAUAUAGCUGACCCUGGUUGUGUGCUUAUUUAAACUAUUUUGUAUUUGGGUUUCUUGUUAAGUUGUUGCCCCAACAAUGACUAUAUUUGGGCUCUUUGUGCUGCGCCCCAGCAACAACACCUCAGUGCUACUUUUUGGGGUUUGAUGUUUUAUUUGAUAAUAAUAAUAGUGUGAUUAUAAUAAUGAUAGCGUGAUUAUCUAACGAACGGACCUGUAUCCUAGUGUUUGUAGCGACCUUAGUAGCACCCCGGGUCUUGGGUUUGACUCCCAUUGUGAGCGGAUUUGAACAGGCUUGGGCAAAAAACUGUAAUAAAAGGACUGUAGGGUUGUUGCUCCAUAGUAAGUAAUCAAAAUAAAAGAAGCUGCGAUUAUACAAAAAAAUUGUUGAUAAUGUUUUAUGACGGUUUAGUGCCAAAGUCCAUUGUUCUGUUCACUCUAAACUAUUUGAAGUUCUAGCCUUGUCUUAAGUCAAUCUUCUCUGUAGUUCAUCAAGUUUAGAGAAAAAUAUGAAAUUUAUAACUAAUUUGUGAAAAACGAUGGAACAGAGGGAGUACCUAUUUAUACUUAAUAACAAUCUUUCGAGCAGUUGGGUAAGCAAUUCAUCUGGUGGAUGUUACAAGGCAAAUUGGUACUAGUUUAUUAUAUUGUCCCAAAAUCUGCCAAAAACUAAACUAGCCCAAAAUUCGAUACCGUAAUACUAUAUUCUAUCAUAUUAUUUCUGACAUAGACGAAAAAAGAAAAGAAAAGUAACAAGGCAGGGGAGCUAAUUCGUGAUUUCUAUCGUAAUAAUCCAACUGCCUUCCAAUAGAUCGCGUGAAGAGCAAAAACGAAAUUAUCAGGAAAAGAAGAUCAGGUUGUAGUAGUACCUAGUGCCUGGAAAGCUGGAACACGAUCGGUGUCCUUGAAGUGCAGUGUUCUUCCUUUCGCCAGUAAAGGCCAUGAGCUACCUCGCCGGAAGUCCAGAACACAUGCACUGUACGCGACGUACGCCGGCAGCCUCGCUUGGUUGCUCUUCAAGCCGCCGGCGACGUGCCUCUCGACCUUGGUCGAUCUUCAUGACUGGCCGAGCCUUGAGUCGUACUUCUAAAUCUCCAUCUGAAACGUAGGAGGAGAUGGUGGAGAGGGUCAAGACCCAGGGAGUGGAUGAUUGAUUUCGGUUUAACAUGGCGACAAUGGAUUGCAGGGCCGUGGGAGACGACUUUAGGGAAGAAGACCGAGUACACCGUCUCCUGGCCUCUCUAACAAUAAUAUAUUUUGGCGCGUUAUAUUAUUCCAUGUGCUUCAUAAGGCACCAGCUUACAAUACAAGGCCAUGUGCCUACACGCAUCAUCUAUCGAGUGGGUGCGUCUACAUUCAUUUCCCUAAAAACAAACUACUUAGUUGGAAGACGCUGAUGUUCCCAACCUAUUAGUUUUGUUUCUGUAGGGCGACAUGUUUGGCUGGGGUCUUCCCCUAAUAUUAUUUGUAUCUCAUUUAAUGCUGUUUUCAAUGAAUAAAGCCCUAAUCCUCUCUAAAAAACCAGUUAGCCGGUUGUUGGGUGGUCUCAGAAUUUUGAUGACAUUUUUUAUUAUGUUCGAGAUGUUAGCAAUAUAGAAGUCUAUUAAGGAUAAAAAAAGCGUGUUUGAGACGCUUAAGCCCACCUCGAUGGAAACAAAUCUGUUGAUGAUACCAGUUUAACGGGGCAUGAUCUCCACUUUGAUGGGAUGUACCAAUGAGGAAACCUGCCUCAAAGCAUGAUUCGGUUCGCUGUAAUUGGCCCAUAUUUCCUUUUGGGUGGCGACGGUUUAGUUAAAGUUGUUAGGCGAAGGUGACCGUUCACACUUCUCUAGCGACCGUUCAAGUUUGAAUAAUUCUGAGGACAUCGGAUUUGAACACUACGUGCUAUGGUGGAACUCGCCAAGCCGAAGACGUCAAAUGGAGGAAAUAGAUCCAAAGAGUAUUGUUAUCCUGCAAUUGGGGUCUAGUUCAUGGGCUACCGGGGGUGUCCUGGACUAGGGGUUACUAACGCGAGGUGCUUUAUGAUCGUGGACUGAAUUACACUACCAAAAGAAAACCUAGUAUAGUAACGCUUGUUUUACCCAUACGAGUAGAGCUGGUGGCAGCGCUACUGCUAAGGUGCUACAUUCAAGUUUUAGCAGUAGCGUUGGAAAACCAGCGCUACUGGUAAGUAAGGUAGUAGUAGUGUUGGAAUAGAGCAAGCGCUGCAACUAAUCCACCGCUACUGUUAAUAUACCAGCGCUAGUGCUAAUAUUCCUGCUUUCAAGAAUUUCAUUCCCGUUUACGUAAUUGUGCCCCCUCUACAUAUUUGUGCAUGCUAUAUACAAUAGUUUCAUCAUAUCAUUAUAAACAUACUUUAUUCUCAUCAUAUCAUACACAUAAAGUAGUCUCGUCAUUUAUACCAUCAUCAUCAUUAUCCAACACAAAUAUCAUCACAUUUCGAAAAUAACGAUACACAAGUCAUGGCACACCCACAAGUUUCAUCAUCCCUAUAUAAACCAUGAUGUAGAAGAGAAGAGCGAUUAGCAUGAGCAAGAGCGCGACUGAAAGGAUAUGGAUGUCGCCUGGAGGGGGGGGUGAAUAGGCACUUUAAAAUAAUUAAGGUUUAGGCUUGAACAAAUGCGGAAUAAAACUAACGUUUAAUAUGUCAAGCACAAAACCUACAAACAACUAGGCUCACCUAUGUGCACCAACAACUUAUGCUAAGCAAGAUAAACAACUAAGUGAUAGCAAGAUAUAUUACAAUAAACAAUAUGUCUAUCACAAAGUAAAGUGCAUAAGUAAAGGGUUCGGGUAAGAGAUAACCGAGGCACGGGGAGACGAUGAUGUAUCCCGAAGUUCACACCCUUGCGGAUGCUAAUCUCCGUUAGAGCGGUGUGGAGGCACAAUGCUCCCCAAGAUGCCACUAAGGCCACCGUAAUCUCCUCACGCCCUCGCACAAUGCAAGAUGUCGUGAUUCCACUAAGGGGCCCUUGAGGGCGGUCACCGAACCCGUACAAAUGGCAAACCUUGGGGGCGGUCACCGAACCCGUACACGUGGAAACCCUUGGGGGCGGUUACCGGUACCCGUACAAAUUGCUCGGGGCUAUCUCCACAACCUAAUUGGAGACCCCCAACGCUUGCCCGGAGCUUCACACCACAAUGAUUGAGCUCCGAGACACCACCAAGCUUCUAGGAUGCCAAAGCAUCCAAGAAGAACAAUAUCUAGGGUACUAAAUACCAAAGGUAGUAAGCUUCUCAAACUUCACUUCCACGUAUCACCGUGGAGAACUCAAACCGAUGCAACCAAUGCAAUGGCAAGAACACACGAAGUGGUCAAGUCCCUCACACUCAAAUCCCUCCACAACAACGAAAGCUAUGGAGAAAUAUGAGAGGAAGAACAAGGAGCUCACAAAGAACUCCAAGAUCAAGAUCCAAGGGGUUCCCCUCACAUAGAGGAGAAAGUGAUUGGUGGAGAUGUGGAUCUAGAUCUCCUCUCUCUUUUCCCUCAAGAACAAGCAAGAAUCAUUGGAGGGAUUGAGAGUAAGCAAGCUCUAAGAAUGUCAACAAUGGAGGUAGAACAAGAGCUCAACAGAUAGAUAAGACCAAGGGGGAAGAAGACCCCCUUUUAUAUAGUGGGGGAAGGAAUCAGACCGUUACCCCACUUAAAGCCCGAGCCCAGCGGUACUACCGCUGGCUCCAGCGGUACUACCGCUGACGCUCCGGCGGUACUACCGCUAGCUGCAGCGGUACUACCGCCGACUAGCGGUACUACCGCUGGAUGCAGCGGUACUACCGCUGGCACUCCAGCGGUACUACCGCUGGAUGCAGCGGUACUACCGCUGGCACUCCAGCGGUACUACCGCUGGGCCCCUGGUAGUGCAAAGGCACUACCACCGCCAAGAAAGUCUUCGCAAAAAGGUCCGUCCACGAACAACCGCUAGGCAGGCGGUACUAAGCUCCUGGAGCGGUACUACCGCUGACCAGGGGUGGUACUACCGCCAGCCAGCGGUACUACCGCUGGCUGCAGCGGUACUACUGCUAGGUCCAGCGGUACUACCACUUGCCACUGAAACAGCCAUAACUUUUGCAUACGAGCUCCGAAUCGAGCAAACCCAAGCUUGUUGGAUUCAGGACGACAAGAGCUAUCCAAACAGCUAUAAAAUGCCAAUGAUAUAGAGAUGUGAGUCCUCUAUGAAUGAAGAACCGGCAAAAACUCCAACAUCGAAAACAUCAUAGUAGAUGCAUAUGGACUCCAUUUUCGAUGAACUCGAGCUUGUCACGAAGAUGACCAUAAGCUCUAAAACUCACAAAGAGAAACACCAAACAAGAACCAAGAAGUAUGAUGCAAAGAUGCAAAUGGUUUGAGCUCUCAACGAACGAUACGAUCAAGCUACUCACUCGAGAGCCCCCCUUGAUAGUACAACAAUCUAUCCUAAACAGAAAACCUAUAAAGGGCAAACCUAUACCUUGCACCUCAUCCUAUUGAGCUAGAUGAUGAUGAUCUUGGCUUCCUCAAGAUGGACCGCCUUUCUUGAUUGCGUUGGCUUGAUGAAGACUAGUUGAUUGCUCCCCCAUACUCACUAUGGGUGAGCCACUUC